AACGAACGCUGGCGGCGUGGAUAAGACAUGCAAGUCGAACGCUUAUCUUUGUGUAGCAAUACAUGAAGGUAGGAGUGGCGCAAGGGUGCGUAACACGUGGGUAAUUUGCCGCGAAGUCCGGGAUAACUUGCUGAAAGGCGAGCUAAUACCGGAUGUGGAAAUUGGAAGGCAUCUUUUGAUUUCUGAAGCUGGGGACCUGUAAGGGCCUGGCGCUUUGCGAUAAGCCCGCGGCCUAUCAGCUAGUUGGUGAGGUAACGGCCCACCAAGGCUAAGACGGGUAGCUGGUCUGAGAGGACGACCAGCCACACUGGAACUGAGACACGGUCCAGACACCUACGGGUGCAGCAGUCGAGAAUUUUUCUCAAUGGGCGCAAGCCUGAAGGAGCGACGCCGCGUGUGGGAUGAA
rnacentral:rRNA from 1 species